CAACGCUACCCCGUGAAUCCACCCUACCAUGAGUUCUGCCGUACCAAGUUUGCUGUUCCUGUGGCUGUUUGCCCAGGCUUCUGCCUCUGGCCAUGAGUUCUGCCUUAACACGUUUGUUUGCCAGUCCCUGUGGCGGUUGGGGAUUCUGCUACAAAGACAACAAAGUAUGAGUUUCCCCAUCCUGCUCUCUGUGAAUUGUGAAUUAAGACAACAAUGAAGUGGGAACAUUCCUGAAAUAUAUGAGAUAUUCCAUCCAUUCAUUUUCUAUACUGCCUAUCCUGUUCAGGGUAGCUGCUGAAAGGUGGAAUACACCCUAGACUGGUCACUAAUUAACCGCAGGCACACAGAGAGAUAGACAACGAUUCGCACCGUCACUGAGUGGGAACUGAACCCAUGUUGCCUGCACAGAAGGAGUACUGGUGAUGUGUAGUCAUAGCAGUGGAUUGAGAAGCCUGUAGCUGUGGCCCAAUGGUUAAGAUCAUCGCUUGCCACCGUGGGGGACCUAGGUUCAAGACCCAGACCGGACCAUCUGCCAACAUCCCACGGACUCACGGCUGUGGUGUCCUGGAGCAAGACACUGAUACUCCAAACUGCUCCCCAGGUGCUUCAGCUACACCCUGCCCCCUGCUCCAGUGUGUUCUACUAACAAGUGUGUGUGUUCACUGUGAUGGGUAAAAUGCAGAGAACAAUUUUUUUUGUGCAUCCAUGCAUGUUCUUGACAAUAAAGGUGAUUCUUCUUCUUCUACACUGA